CCGAGCUGGGCGGCUGCACCUCUCUCGUAGUCCCCACCCGGCGCCGGGCGCCGCCGCCGCCCCCGCCGGCCGCACCGUGACGGGGGCAUGAGUCUGGCCCGCCGCCCGCCGAGCCAGCGCCCCCAGCAGGGGCCGCGGCGCCCAGGAAGCAGCACCCAGACGAGCUGCUGAAGAGUUCCAGGGGCAGAGAGCAGGGCCUGAGCGGGCUUGAGGUGCCGAUUCUCAGCCUCUUGCCUGGAGCUGAGGAGAACCAGCAGGCUCCGGGCGAAGGAGCUGCUAGAACAAUGCUGAGGCAGCCCCGACCGAGUAUCUCGAACAGGUGAUCGGAGGGGCCAGGAAACCGAGGCCACCUGGGCAUCCCUCCCCUCGCCUGGGCCGGCCAGGGCCUCAAAGACGGUGGAGAAACCAUGGCGACCAAUUUCAACGACAUCGUCAAGCAGGGCUACGUGAAGAUGAAGAGCAGGAAG